rnacentral:rRNA from 1 species
GGUAAGGCCCCCGACUAGACCAUCGGGUUGAUAGGCCGGAAGUGGAAGUGCGGACUAACGACGCAUGCAGCUGACCGGUACUAAUAGGCCGAGGGCUUGACCAC